rnacentral:rRNA from 1 species
CACGUAGGGGGCUAGCGUUGUCCGGAUUUAUUGGGCGUAAAGAGCGUGUAGGCGGCCAGGUAGGUCUGGUGUGAAAACUCGAGGCUUAACCUCGAGAUGUCAUCGGAAACCAUCUGGCUAGAGUCCGGAAGAGGAGAGUGGAAUUCCUGGUGUAGCGGUGAAAUGCGCAGAUAUCAGGAAGAACACCAAUGGCGAAAGCAGCUCUCUGGGACGGUACUGACGCUGAGACGCGAAAGCGUGGGGAGCGAACAGG